UUGAACCUCCAUCAUGAGGGAUGUCCAUCUGCAUUGUUCUGGUGCUUCAUGAUGGCACAGACUUGGAAUUUGUGUUGUUCAAUCUUAGAAAAGAGACCUUUUGUCACGGGUAGGGGGAGAGAAGGACUAUAUAUGAUAGUCACAUAGAGUUCCAAUAGAGUCAAUAGAGUUCCAAUCCUGUAAUGAAUUUUGUGUAGUUUACUUUAAAGAAUUCUUGUCUGAGCAGAAAGAAUCGACUAUCUCAGAGUUCCCGUUGUGGCACAGGGGAAACAAAUCCGACUAGGAACCAUCAGGUUGUAGGUUCAAUCCCCGGCCCCACAUAGUGGGUUAAGAAUCCGGUGUUGUUGCCGUGAGUUGUGGUAUAGGUGGCAGAUAUCUGAGCUGCGUCUGCGACCUACACCACAGCUCACAGCUACGCCGGAUCCUUAACCCACCAAGCAAGGCCAGGGAUCGAACCCGCAACCUCGUGGUUCUCAGUCGGAUUUGUUAACCACUGAGCCACGAAGGGAACUCCUCAUUGGAUUUUAAAAUCAGAAGGGAUUUCGGACUAAGGUCCUGCCACUCCCCCCCCCCCCGCAAAAUAACACUAAAUAAUAAUUUAAUAAUUAUUACCUUUUGUUGAGUCCUUAUGUGCUGAGGUCCUUAUUAGAUUAUUUUCACAGAAAUACAUUCAAGAAUGGCAUUAAUUCUCCUUUUUCUCAGAUGAAUAAACUAAGGCUUAGAGAUUUUAUGUAACUGGUCUUUGUCACACUGUUUGCCUGGGUAGAGCUGAGAUUUGAACCUGGAUUUGCUUUUAAGCACUAGACUACACCCUAAAAAGAGAGGCUGAGAUCGCAUCUGUCUUGGGAUGGUUCUGCCCCCACUGGUUAAUUUUUUGCAAACGCUGCGGCUCUUCUGAAGGCUUUUUCAGGCCAACGGUGCCAUCUUCAUGAACCCUUGGCCUUGUGACACUUGCUUUUUCUUACUGAUCUCAUUUUGAUCAUCCCAUGUGUCUGUCUUUAGUUCCUGUCUUUACAUGCCGUUGAGCUAAGGCAAAAACAAUGCAAAUGUUUCAGCUAAGGUCCUUUCCCUAUAGAAGUUUAUAGCCUGAAAAAAUAAAUAUUGGCAAAGCAAUAACUCUGACUCUGAUGGGACUGGAGAGUACAGUGAAGCAGAGGGCAUUUGGGCCAAGACAGGAGCUUCGGGGCAUGGCCGUUGAGCUGUAUCGCAGACCCUCUGGGUCACUACUCCAGCCUGAAGACUUCAUAUGGACAAGACCUCUGUCAUGAUUUGAUAAGUAGUUUUCCAGUUACGCACAGGAGACCCUUGGCAUUCAAGGAUUUCGUAUUUUUGUUUUCAACUAUUAAAAAAUGACCGCAAAAAUAUACAUGGUAUAUAAUCAGUGUAAUUUUAUUGAGGCACAGAUUUGAAUGAUGUGUGCAGGAGUGAGUCAAGUAGCUGGUAUGAGGGCCCAGCCAGCCACCAGCAGCCCCAUCUCCAUGAGUGGGAUUCUCAGAUGCAGGUGUUUCCAGAGGUCUUGGGGUAAUAAGGCUUAUGGUCAGUGCAGUUUAUACUCCGGGCUUGUCUUAGUCUCAGGUGGUCCAGAUAGUGAAAUACCUGAGGCCAGCAGGCUGUCCCUCUGGCCAUACACAGAUGUCUGCCCCCCCCCCCCCGAUUUUGGGGGUGAGUGGAGUGCUGUUUGCAGGUCUCUCCCUGAUUGAUAAGUCUUGUCUGUGGAAAUAGUGAUUGAUGUCCGUUUCCGUGUGUUUUUCCUAGGAGAACCCCACCCCCCCUUUACCUUUUGGUAGGGAACUGUGUCAUCAUUACCAUCAUCUGUCCCCAACCCUUUGCUACAUGGUCCUGAACUUGCCUUUACAGGGCUCUGUAAAAUCAAACACAAAUACUUCCACCCCAGAGGCUUUCCCGCCCCCACAGGAAUCCUUUGUUGUUAACCUAAGCAGUUGGUAAAGGGAUUGGUGUGCUGUGUCCAUUUUCGCUUUUCCCCACCAAACCUGAUUUUGUCUUGAUUUGGGAGGGUUGGAGGCUCAGAGAGACUUUGCUUCUAUGGGGAAAAUCGGACAAAUGUGUACAGAUCUUGUCUCCCAUGCCAGCAUCCUCCUCCAGCCAGCCCACCUCCACCAUGACUCAUGGUUGCUUGAUGGAGAAAUGCAUGGUCUCCCAACCCGGGCCCUGCUGGCCUGGGCCCUGAGGUGAUCUUGAGGUAGGUGGAGAUAACAGAGCCUCAGAGCCCUGCCAGAAGCACCUGGCCACAGCCCCAAGAUAAUAUUUGAAGUCCUUGUUCUGUUCUAGAGAGCAUCAAAGUAUAAUGCACUCUCCCCCUUUCGCCUUACCUUCCCCAGACGCGGCCAACGCUUGACGUCUUUUUAUCAGAUGAGCUUGGCACUGCCAGGACGGGCUCCUCGCGCCAAUGUGGCAGCAGCCACAGCCCCUCAGCUUGUUAGACUGAAAGAAUGUGCCGUUUUAAUUAAUGAUAUGUAAAUAUCCUUGAAUGGGCCGCAUUUGCAUAUUAAGAGAGAUUUGCGGAAUCUGCGGAGUAAUAUAUUUUAAUUAAGGAUUAAUUAAAAAUAAUGGGAAUUUCAUUUCGCCUGGCAGAAUCCGUUUAGAUUUUAGCACACGUCUGCUUGGGAGUCUGGUAGGAAGGCUCUGUGUUACGAUUCCUGCAGAUGAGAGAGGCACUCCUGUGUUUAUCAUCUUGGAACCCCAUUCUGGGGAGCAAAGGGAAUAUACAGGGGGGAACUUUUUCCUCUCGCCUUCUCCAGCACCCACCCCUCAUCUUUCCUCCUCUUUGUGAUUUUAGGGCUGUUUUGGUAUUCUUUAUGGUAAAGUAAGUAAAUGGCUCUGAGACACGGAACACUAGUUGUGUUGGCAAUUAUGUUAAUGGGAUGCUAUUAGGCUAUGAUUCUAUAUGAGCAAUUGGGGAGAAGAAAUGCCUUACUGAGAGAGAAUGAUACAACAGACGUCUGUCUUAUUGAUAUAGCUCCAGUGGUGCUUUCUGCAUAAUUACACUCGGCCACUUUCUUUAGGUGGGGGAGAGGCCGCUGCAUUAGGGAGUUGGGAGCAAGGGAUUUGGGUAAGAGGUGCCCCCUAAUAGAUGCACAGAGGAUAUGGGGGGGCCGGGCUGACUCUUCUAGCAGAUGAGGGUAUGGCAGGUGAGCAAAACUUGUUUCACAGAAAUCCUUAUUCUCUUUCUAUUUCUUCUCCCUGAGAAUAAGUCGUCUCAAGUAUGGACUGAGUUCAACUCCAGUACUCCUUUCCAGAAAUGGAAUUCUCUGGAAUACACGCACUGCCGCUCUGACCUCCAGUCUGUGGGUCUAUCGCCCCAUCCUGUCCUAAGCUCACGCCACACAUCCCUGUACUUGUAGGGAGUACGUUGCUGUAUCCUCAGCCCUAAACACCUACUCACAGCCUCCCAGCCCUUCCUGCCACCCGACUGGCUUUUGCUGUGGAUACAGCCCUGGGAGAGCUUUUCUUGGAUCCUCGGGGUCUGGCCCUCUGCACACCCUUUCUCUGCUUCUGCUUCCCCAGAUGCUGCCUCUGUGGAGACCAGACUACCAGCUUGCCCCCCCCUUUUUUUUUUUGCUGGAGAUCAUUCUUGUACAUUUGACUGCUUCAAGAGUACGAGGGCCCAUAAGCAGUGGGCAGUCAGUGAGGAAGCUAGGCGCUGCCCUCAGGUGACCGGGGCCCCACGGCUGGGACUCCUGAGAACGGCCACAAUGGAAAAAAGGCUUAUUUGGUUUUCUUCCUUUACCGUAACACACCCUCAGGGAGAUCCAGGGGAAAUAGCCUCGGACCUCUUUGAGAGCUGAUGGCCUGAGGCUUGCAUCUUUAAAGCAAAUUUCCGGAUGGUUUUGAUGAUGGCUGAUGCUGGGGAGGAACUUGGGGGCCAGGGAUCUAGCAAUUAUGCUUCCCCACACACAAUCCCUUUCCAGGAGAAUCCCCUGGUGGAAAAUUUCAGCACUUCCCCUGGAAGCCUUAACUCCGUUUUCCCCUUACUCUGAUUAAAAAAUAUGUAUGUCAGCUCUCCUUCUUCCCUGCCUCCCUGUGUGACUCCCGUAAUUCAUGAAUUUGGGGGAAAUCCACCUAGAAGCACUUGCUGUGAUGGCCUUUCCUUGUAGGCAUCCUGACGUCUCAAUAGCCCGCUGACUGAAGGCAUUCGGGGUCCGGAUUGAAAGGAAGAUGGGGUUGAGCUAAAUUCAUUGACACCGUGGAGCCCGGGCGAGAGAGGGGCUUUCAGAGCGACAAAGCAACGCUGGGGCAGAAAAAUGGAGUAGGGAGCAGAGCAGAGAGCGGGAACAGAAGGUGGAGGGUGAGGCGCCCUGUAGACCCAGGCUCGGGUGCGGGGUGAGACGGAGGGGGGCCGUGAACAAAGCGGGGGUGGGGGUGGGGGGGUAAGGAGGGAGUGUUCCCUUCCCGCCCGAGUCCGCGCGCCUGUGUGCACUUUCCAAAGGCAGCGGUGCCGUAUCUAAUGCAAAUAGAGAAAAUGCAGUUUCUGGUAAGUGUUCCCUAAUAAAUAACAUCAAGUCUUCUUCCCUAUCAGCCGGUGACAUCCCGCAUUUCUCUUCCCUCUGCGCCAGCCCAAGACAUUUAAUGAUGUGGCGCUCCUUAUGGGAUGUGAGGCCCAUGCUAAUAUCUCCACUCGCACAAAAUGGUGGGAACGGAUUCAGCCCGGCUCCAUUAUUCCGCACCGACAGAAAUCACAAAAUAAAUGUACCUACAUUCCAAAAACAGAGUGUCCUUUUCCUUUUGCUUUCU
rnacentral:lncRNA from 1 species